rnacentral:lncRNA from 1 species
UGGUUACUCUGUUUGAAUUGUCACCUCAUGACUCCGGAUGCGCUUUGUUGACUGAAGUAUUUUGAACUGCGUUACAAACACGAUGUUGAAUGUAGCUGGCGAAUGGCGAUAUUAGACCAUCGACCUUUGAAAAGCUCCCAAAACCGCUUUUUUGUAUUGUGGAUUUUAUUAACUUCGGCGAUAUUUUAAAGAAAAUAUUCAAAACUUCGAAUCUAAACGUGUCUUGGUGUAUCCGC